rnacentral:rRNA from 1 species
UACAGAGGUCCCAAGCGUUGUUCGGAUUCAUUGGGCGUAAAGGGUGCGUAGGGGGCGCCGUAAGUCUGGUGUGAAAUUUCGGAGCUUAACUCCGAAACUGCAUUUGAUACUGCGGUGCUUGAGGACUGGAGAGGAGACUGGAAUUUACGGUGUAGCAGUGAAAUGCGUAGAGAUCGUAAGGAAGACCAGUGGCGAAGGCGGGUCUCUGGACAGUUCCUGACACUGAGGCACGAAGGCCAGGGGAGCAAACAGG